AUAUGUAUUCAUUUCCUACCACUGUAGUGGAAGAGAGACUAUCCCUGUCUUUACACCCGGUAGCAUUUCCAACAGUAAGCUGUGAGAUUCUGCUUGAAAUCACCUCUCAAACAAAUAAAAAACAGACCUGGGAAAUGUGCUACACUCAUUCUGCUGAAGAAAUUGACAUCAUAGCUGGGGAAACAGGGAUUCAAAAGAUCCAGGCUGUUCCCUACAUAUUUUUCCUCCUCAGACAUCAGUUCAUCAGUCAAUCAAGUCAGGUGAGAGUGGAGGCCAUGUAUUCCUUAUUCUUGGGCACUGUCCUCCAAGGAGGAAGAGGCCAGGAGGUCCUGUUAGAGGAUGCACUCUGAGAGGCCGGGCUCCCUAAGGUGUGAGGGUUCUAACCAGCAGGUGUAGACUUUUCAGGAGUGAGGAAUGAGGCAGGCAUUCCAAACCUGGAGCUUCAUCACCUUUUGUUUCAUCUCAAGACAAUUCUGAGGGGCUGUUUUGGAACGUGUCUGGAAGGUGAACAUUGAAGAAGAGUGGGCUUUGAUGUGACUCAGAUAAGAUCUUUCAUGGGGAGGCAGGAAUUUAAUGCCCAGAAUCUGGGCUGGUGUCUUUGAGGUCAGUGGGUUGCCUUUUUGUAUCCAAGUCCAUUGUUACUAGGUUGGAGGCUGGAGAUUCUAAAUGGCUUCCAGACCGCCUCUCUGAUUCUCUUUUGGAGAUGGGGUCUGAAAAAGACAAUGUCAGUAUUUUUGGGAAAUUCUGGAAAGUCUGUUUGGAAACCUGUCAAGACCUCUUGCCUAGUGCCUAAAUUCUCAAUGUGCAGCUCUAGCCAUGUAGAUUUUGGAGGUAAGAGCUGGGUUUGCAUUUAUAUCAGCAAAACCUAUGGCAGAGUGAAGAAGUAAUCAGGACAAAGUGCUUGGUCGCAGCCAGAGAACAUCUUAAAAGCAAACUUCUAGCCUGCUGACUCUUGGCAAUGAGUGUUGGGUCCUGGCCAAAGUGCCUUGAAUGCAGCAUGAAGCCAAUCCAUAAAUCCAACUUCUAAUGGAGAAAUGUUAAUAUUUUUUCAGUUUGAAUCAAUCAGGGUGAAAUUACCAUGCUAUUGGUUUGUUUACUUUUUAUUAUUUCAUAUAAAAUCUAAGACAAAAUACAUUAAACGCUUAUUGACAUAUGUAUUUAUUCUUCACCUGGCUCAUAACAUUUGCCUAAUUUUAAACUUUCUUCUAUUAUGUAGGUUUCAACUUAUUUUAUUGUAAGAUAUUUUUAAAUCUAAUACAGGCAUUGUCACCUUUACAUGUAAUUUCAUUUUAUUUCAUAUAUUUCCUAUUCGCUUUCUAUAUUUAAAUUAUGGACUGUUUCAUCAUAUAAAAAGCUUCAUUUCUGUUUUAAAAAUAAUUCUUUGGGUUUUUUUGGUCUUGUAAUUUCCAUAUUACAUAGUAAUGAGAUAAAUAUUAAUGUUUCCGGGUAUUUAAAUUUUAGAUAAUUACUCAUUGUAUCCAUGUGAAAUUUGUUUUUACUGCUGUGGGGUUGAGAACUGUUUUCUCUUCUGAUUGUCUUUACUGUGAUCUCCUCAGAACUCAUACCUCUCGUAGUUGGGGGAUUGCAGUUUAGAAUUCCAAUAAAUGGGGCAAAUUCAACAAUAACAUAAUGCAUAUGAGUUUGAAAGGAGGACAUGUCUUCAAAGCAUACACAAAUGGGCCUACAUAUGUACAACAAUAAUUUAUAAGUUACAGUUUGGAUGGAAAGUAAAAGUACGGAAAAUUUGUUAAAGUAAAUUAAAAUGGAGAUCAUGUCUCAAUAAUCUCUGAGCAGACAAAAUUAGUUAGGUCUCAUAAGUGAUCUCGACCUGCUUGAUUUGCAAAUAAAAGCAAAACUUAAAUUAUUUCUUGUAGCUGCAUAUUUAAAAAACAGAAAUGAAGCUCAACCAAUCAGGAGUAGCCAACAACCUUAUAUAAAUAGAAACUGUCCAACAAGGUAAACAGACAAACAGAAAACAAUAAAAAAAGUUGUGCUACCACCAAUUAAA
rnacentral:lncRNA from 1 species